rnacentral:rRNA from 1 species
AUUGAACGCUGGCGGCAGGCCUAACACAUGCAAGUCGAACGAGUGGCGGACUGGUGAGUCGUGUCUGGGAAACUGCCUGAUGGAGGGGGAUAACUACGGGAAACGGUAGCUAAUACCGCAUACCAUCAGAUGUGCCCAGAUGUGAUUAGCUGGUUGGUGGGGUAACGGCUCACCAAGGCGACGCUCCCUAGCUGGGCUGAGAGGAUGACCAGCCACACUGGAACUGAGCCACGGUCCAGACUCCUACGGGAGGCAGCAGUGGGGAAUAUUGCACAAUGGGCGAAAGCCUGAGGCAGCCAUGCCGCGUGUAUGAAGAAGGCCUUCGGGUGGUAAAGUACUUUCAGCGGGGAGGCGUUACCCGCAGAAGAAGCACCGGCUAACUCCGUGCCAGCAGCCGCGGUAAUUC